CAGCCGCCGCGGGAAAACGGAGGGUGCAAGCGUUAAUCGGAAUUACUGGGCGUAAAGCGCACGCAGGCGGUUUGUUAAGUCAGAUGUGAAAUCCCCGAGCUUAACUUGGGAACUGCAUUUGAAACUGGCAAGCUAGAGUCUUGUAGAGGGGGGUAGAAUUCCAGGUGUAGCGGUGAAAUGCGUAGAGAUCUGGAGGAAUACCGGUGGCGAAGGCGGCCCCCUGGACAAAGACUGACGCUCAGGUGCGAAAGCGUGGGGAGCAAACAGGAUUAGAUACCCGUGUAGUCCCUGUCUCUUAUAC
rnacentral:rRNA from 1 species